UACAUAAUGAACGUAUCUGUCUGUUUUUCUUUUUAAACAAAAAGGUACAAACAUAAAUUACCGAGGAAUCAUGCCAAAUGAUUCAAUAUUAUAUGAGGAAUGGCCUCCAUUUAUCAUCAGAAGAUAUUAAGUAUAGCAUCUUUCUCAGAUCUAACGCUCUCAAAAGCUUACUCCACUACGUCUAAUUAUUGCACACUCAGCCAGGAGCGCAGGACGUGUGCAUCACUGUUGCGAACGCAAGUAGCGGCGGGUGACAUAGCUUCAGGAGCAGUCUGUUUUUGACCUCCCCGAGUGCACUCGCCAUCAUUUGAUCAUGAAAUUUCUUGGCUCAUUGCCUUGGCUUCAGCCAUUGGCAUUGUGAAGAAUGAUUCGUAGAAUGCAACGGCGCUGCGACGCAUAACGUGGCCACGAAAGCCAACUUGAGGGCAGCCUUCUCCCAAACGUGUCUAUCUGUUUAAAUGGAAAUGAAGGAUUACUGGAAAUAUGAACUAUGUUUAGGCCCAUUUUGAUAAUAUUGUACCUUUUAAAAAAAAUUAUUAUUAGUUGUAUAAUAAAGUUAAUAAUUUAAGAAAGUUAAUUAAAUAUUUGAUAAAUUUAUUUUCAAAAAUAUUAUGAGUUUUAAAAUAAUUACCCAAUAUCCUUUUCUGGGAAGGGGCACAAACGAGCUGGAAUCCCCAACCCACAUCCCCUUCUCAAUUCUCCAUUUUUAUUUUUAUUUUUAUUUUUGAAACUAUUAAUGAAUAAAUUAUAAAAUUUAAAUUAUAAAAUAUUAAAUAUUUGUGUAAAUAACAAAUAUCAAGAUAUUUAUAUAAAUACACUAUGAAACUAUUGAGCCUAGUUAAUUAAUUGUAGUCUUGAAUUACUAUUUAAUCAUGCUUAUUCAAAAGGCUUGUCCCAACAUUUUUGUUUUAAACUUUUAUCUAAUAAAACAAAAACUAAUGCAAAAGCUAAAGGUAUAAUAUCUAAACUUUAUUAAGAUACAUUAUAAAACUUUACUUUUAUUUAAAAUUUCGACUAUUUUUAAUUUAUAAUAAAAGUUAGAAAGAGGAUAAUUAUUAACCACGUCAGUGGAGAAUCCCACGGAUUUUGAAUUCAUAUUUUUUUAGCUACAGUUUUAGUUUUCGUUAUUCAAUUGAAAAAGAUUGUAAUAUUUAAUUAAAUUAAUCGCCAAAGAGUAAAUGUACGUGGAUUAGCAAAUAGCAAUAGCAUAAUAUGUAAAUUAUUUUAUGGGCCUUCAUGAUCUGGUACAUAAUAUGUAAAAAGAAAAAGAAAAUAUAACCAAUUGUAUUGCUGAAAAGAUUACAUAAUGAACGUAUCUGUCUGUUUUUCUUUUUAAACAAAAAGGUACAAACAUAAAUUACCGAGGAAUCAUGCCAAAUGAUUCAAUAUUAUAUGAGGAAUGGCCUCCAUUUAUCAUCAGAAGAUAUUAAGUAUAGCAUCUUUCUCAGAUCUAACGCUCUCAAAAGCUUACUCCACUACGUCUAAUUAUUGCACACUCAGCCAGGAGCGCAGGACGUGUGCAUCACUGUUGCGAACGCAAGUAGCGGCGGGUGACAUAGCUUCAGGAGCAGUCUGUUUUUGACCUCCCCGAGUGCACUCGCCAUCAUUUGAUCAUGAAAUUUCUUGGCUCAUUGCCUUGGCUUCAGCCAUUGGCAUUGUGAAGAAUGAUUCGUAGAAUGCAACGGCGCUGCGACGCAUAACGUGGCCACGAAAGCCAACUUGAGGGCAGCCUUCUCCCAAACGUGUCUAUCUGUUUAAAUGGAAAUGAAGGAUUACUGGAAAUAUGAACUAUGUUUAGGCCCAUUUUGAUAAUAUUGUACCUUUUAAAAAAAAUUAUUAUUAGUUGUAUAAUAAAGUUAAUAAUUU
rnacentral:lncRNA from 1 species